CAUGGCUGGCCGACUAAUGUCCCCUCUAAACGACAACGUAUUAAGAAACGGACCUGGAAUUGUAAGAUGCAAAAGGCCUUCGGAAUGCGAUAUCGUGUGCUUAUGCGCGUGUUGCUCUGAAAAAUCAAUCGUUCGCGGUGGCAAGUCGAUAGGCGGUCACAGAGGAUGACGAUGUGAUUUGAUUUGAAAACAGAUCAGGGUGUAAUUGAUAUACCAGAGGCUUUCCAGUAGCCUGCGCGGUAACGGCGUGAUCUCCAGAAUGGUUGAAUAGACAGCUAUGAUCGAAGAUGGGUUGAGAUCCGCCGGCAGUGGUUGUUAAUGAUGGGAAGUGAAGAAACGGGAAGGAGAACAACUCGAAAGCAGAGUUGAAACUUGAUUUGAAAUUAAAUUUAGGUCAAUGUGGGAGGGGAACGGUGAACGGUUCCAAAAGAUCGUAUAUAUACUUACGGCGGAACUGUAAAUAUUUUAGUGGAGUUUGGGCUGAGGCCUCAAACUGAGCCCAACAAAGAAUUGGCUUCGGAUUCCUUAGCUUGACCAUGUUAUUAUGGAAGUAAAAGGACCGAAACUUGGGAGUUGUUGGAUGAUAAAGUCCAUCCUUUAACCCUAGAAAUGUUCGGCCUCCGUCUGCGCCGGACGGUAUUGUAGAGGCUCUUCGAUCGCUAUAUGAAACCAGAAGCUAGUGGAGCUUUCGAUUUAACGAGCGUAUGUUUGAGGAAUUUCCUCUUGGAAUUAUCCGAAACACUUCAAAAGGGGAGAGACAAAAAGCAGUGUGGUAGUUCUCAAUCAGGAUCAUGAGAAGCCACUCUCCCAUAUUUGAGCAUUCCGAAUUCUCCGUUUGUCUUAACGUUUGGGACUCAUUCGACGGCCCUGCGACAAAAUUCAAGUGAUUGGAUUGGCUGUCUCUGAACUUUUGAUGCUAUUGGGGCCAAUAAUAUGGUAAGAUAAAUAGCUCAUCUGCACCUGGAAUACACUUGCAGGAUAUGCUCUAAUUGUAAAUGAAAAAAGUCGGCAGUUGCCUGAAAGAACUUCUAAUUUAGUCUAAAAAGGUCGUCCUUUCUCCAAUAUAAAAAUAAAUAUUUAAGCACAAUCUGAUGCCGCCCCACUUGUAUAACGUAAAUUUGCAUACAAGUGUUAGUGGCCACUAGUUGACCUAUUAUUGUUCCAUAUCUCUGACUUCUUGUUCAUUCCUCUGUAUAAGCUAAUUUUAGGAAGGAAUGAACAUUGCAAAUGGAAAGGUAGAUUAUCUAUUUAGUAUUUACAAUAAUUUUCUCCACUUUAGUUUUCUUUUACUGGUAAAGUGUCUCAUUGUUGGAGCUGUAGCCUAUUAUUGAAGAGUAUAGUAUUUUUUUUGUGUGACCUGUACUGAUUUAACAGGGGGCUACACCAUGGCCAAUUAAUUGUUGCACUUAUUGUUGGUAGUAA